rnacentral:rRNA from 1 species
AUUGAACGCUGGCGGAAUGCUUUACACAUGCAAGUCGAGCGGCAGCGCGGGGCAACCUGGCGGCGAGCGGCGAACGGGUGAGUAAUGCAUCGGAACGUACCCCGUCGUGGGGGAUAACUCAUCGAAAGGUGGGCUAAUACCGCAUACGACCUGAGGGUGAAAGCGGGGGAUCGCAAGACCUCGCGCGAUGGGAGCGGCCGAUGUCGGAUUAGCUAGUUGGUGGGGUAAAGGCCUACCAAGGCGACGAUCCGUAGCGGGUCUGAGAGGACGGCCCGCCACACUGGAACUGAGACACGGUCCAGACUCCUACGGGAGGCAGCAGUGGGGAAUUUUGGACAAUGGGGGCAACCCUGAUCCAGCCAUUCCGCGUGAGUGAAGAAGGCCUUCGGGUUGUAAAGCUCUUUCGGCAGGAACGAAACGGUGAGGGUUAAUACCCCUUGCUACUGACGGUACCUGAAGAAGAAGCACCGGCUAACUACGUGCCAGCAGCCGCGGUAAUACGUAGGGUGCGAGCGUUAAUCGGAAUUACUGGGCGUAAAGCGUGCGCAGGUGGUUUUGUAAGACAGAUGUGAAAUCCCCGGGCUUAACCUGGGAACUGCGUUUGUGACUGCAAGACUUGAGUGCGGCAGAGGGGGGUGGAAUUCCACGUGUAGCAGUGAAAUGCGUAGAGAUGUGGAGGAACACCGAUGGCGAAGGCAGCCCCCUGGGUCGACACUGACACUCAUGCACGAAAGCGUGGGGAGCAAACAGGAUUAGAUACCCUGGUAGUCCACGCCCUAAACGAUGCGAACUAGGUGUUGGGGAAGGAGACUUUCUUAGUACCGCAGCUAACGCGUGAAGUUCGCCGCCUGGGGAGUACGGUCGCAAGAUUAAAACUCAAAGGAAUUGACGGGGACCCGCACAAGCGGUGGAUGAUGUGGAUUAAUUCGAUGCAACGCGAAAAACCUUACCUACCCUUGACAUGCCUGGAACCCUGGUGAGAGCUGGGGGUGCCCGAAAGGGAGCCGGGACACAGGUGCUGCAUGGCUGUCGUCAGCUCGUGUCGUGAGAUGUUGGGUUAAGUCCCGCAACGAGCGCAACCCUUGUCAUUAGUUGCCAGCAUUGAGUUGGGCACUCUAAUGAGACUGCCGGUGACAAACCGGAGGAAGGUGGGGAUGACGUCAAGUCCUCAUGGCCCUUAUGGGUAGGGCUUCACACGUCAUACAAUGGUCGGUACAGAGGGUUGCCAAGCCGCGAGGUGGAGCCAAUCCCACAAAGCCGAUCGUAGUCCGGAUCGCAGUCUGCAACUCGACUGCGUGAAGUCGGAAUCGCUAGUAAUCGUGGAUCUUUUAUGCCACGGUGAAUACGUUCCCGGGUCUUGUACACACCGCCCGUCACACCAUGGGAGUGGGUUCCACCAGAAGUAGGUAGUCUAACCGCAAGGGGGGCGCUUACCACGGUGGGAUUCAUGACUGGGGUG